rnacentral:rRNA from 1 species
UACGAAGGGGGCUAGCGUUGCUCGGAAUCACUGGGCGUAAAGGGUGCGUAGGCGGGUCUUUAAGUCAGAGGUGAAAUCCUGGAGCUCAACUCCAGAACUGCCUUUGAUACUGAGGAUCUUGAGUUCGGGAGAGGUGAGUGGAACUGCGAGUGUAGAGGUGAAAUUCGUAGAUAUUCGCAAGAACACCAGUGGCGAAAGCGGCUCACUGGGUCUCUUCUGACGCUGAGGCACGAAAGCUAGGGUAGCGAACGGG